UACGUAGGGGGCUAGCGUUGUCCGGAAUCAUUGGGCGUAAAGCGCGUGUAGGCGGUCCGGUAAGUCCGCUGUGGAAGUCGAGGGCUCAACCCUCGAAUGCCGGUGGAUACUGUCGGGCUUGAGUACGGGAGAGGCGGAGUGGAAUUCCUGGUGUAGCGGUGAAAUGCGCAGAUAUCAGGAGGAACACCGAUUGCGAAGGCAGCUCGCUGGAACGUUACUGACGCUGAGACGCGAAAGCGUGGGGAGCAAACAGG
rnacentral:rRNA from 1 species